CCCAAAACAAUAUCCCUUCCCAACUUUUAUUCUGCGAUGGAAACCCCUUCAUAAGUCUCGCGGCAGCCGACCUUCCCAAAGAGCCAACACCGCCUAGCUCCGAACACCGUAUGAGUGACUCUUCUCGUCCAGCGCUCGACAAGUCGCAUCGGCAACAAGCUAAGGAAAUAUGCAUUAGUGGAAGCGGCGGCAGAGCACUUUGAGGCAACCAAUUGUUUAGGGUUAUGUGAGCCGGGUCGGGUCGGUUGGGCCUCGGGUCUAGACUUGAGUCGGGUCUCACGGGUCAGGCCCAAACUAUAAAGACCAAUUACAGAAGGCUUGAAGAAAUUAAAACUCGGAGCCCAAGAGCAGCCUAAGUGUGACCCGGUUCAGUGACCCGACCUGGUGAAUUUAGGAUUUGCUAAAAUCCUAAUCCUAAAGCAAGCUGACACCAACUUGUCAUCCACGCCAUGCAGUGUCGAACGCCAAUCAUGCCACCAUCGAAGCUAUUGUUAUCAACCUACAUCAACAAAGACCACCGAAAAUGUCAUACACAGUCAACCAAAAUGGCACAAAGUCAAGAAGAACGUAACUUAAUCCCUACAAAUCUGGGAUUUCCACCUAAACCUAUAGACAUGCAACAAGAUAACAAGGAGAUUGGGUGAAGACGAUGGAGAUAAAAAUCGGGGGGCCCUCAACCAGAAAAGAAAGCUAAGUAAAAGGGCAGGAGGAGAGCAAAAAACACGAAAAAUAGAGGGAGAUCAACAAUUCAACAAACAAUCAGGGGGUAUUAUAUUUUUAUUCGAAAACAUUGUAAACGGGGUUCAAGGAAGGGAGGUUCACGAGAGCACGGAACCAGAAACCAACAGUGAGAGGCUCAGUUUUUCUACAGAACAGGGGAUUUUCAACAGAGGGGGAAAAAGCAUUGUAAGGGGGAGUUUUGGAGAGAUUUUCUUUGAUCGAAAAAAUAGCAGUGUAAACAGAGGGGUCGUUCCAUGUUUUUACAAAGAAUGAAAGGCUAGAAAUCUUUUUUUAAAAUUUGUUUUCCUAAUUCCUUCAUAAGUUUUUUUUUCAAUCAUUCGAAAAGCAUAAAUGAAGAGCAUUAAAAACUAGUGAAAUAUCAUUCACAACCAUCAUCUUCCAUUCCACAACGUUGCAACAAAAAAUUAAUCCUAAAAUCGUUCACACUUUCGAAUCAGCAAGCAGAGAAGAACAAGGAAUCGACAACCUCAAAAAAAUAUAUGAAAAGCUUUACCUUGGGUUCUUAACGGCGCAAGCUCCGGUGACUGAUUUGCAAAUCCCAACGGUGGUCGGAGGGGAGAGCUUCUUCGAUUUUUGUCUUCUAAAUCCGGUUCGUGGAGGUCCUGGUGCAGAAGAGAACC